CGUUCUUAGUUCGUGGAGUGAUCUGUCUGCUUAAUUGCGUUUCAAAUUUUAUAUUUGUUAACAUGCGAGUCUUCAAUGACGGCCACUCCACCUUAUAGACAUUAUAUGAUAUGCACAUUUGUGUAUUUGAUUAUAACUUGUCUGGAGUCUGGCUCGAUUUUUUUGACUCAAUUGAACGCAACGGACGUGAUUGCAAGUCCUUGUUGAACAAAUUAUAUAUAUACUACUUCAUCAUUAGUAUAUAUAGUUCGCUUCUCAUGUCGUAGCAGUCAAACGGGCGGGCGUCUUAAUUGGCGCGGUCACGAGGCUUAAUAUGCUGCGGCUGGGAAAACUUGGGCGACCGCUGUAAUACUUCUCUCUUAAACCAGAGGAAGAUUGCGGCAAUAACAGGUCUGUGAUGCCCUCAGAUGUCCCGGGCCGCACACGUGCUACAUUGAUUAGCGCAGUGCGCAUACUUACAUAUAGAUCAUUGAUUGGUUAUUUAUAACCGUCAAUAUCGCCUUGUCUGAAAGGACUAGGUAAUCUAUUGUAAGUGCUGGUUCCUCCUCCCGUUGAGCAUUUUAAUAAUGGUCUCUCUACAUCCCUAGCACAUGAUGUCUAGUGCGAUUGUAGUUGAGUUCUGCCAUUUAUGCAAG
rnacentral:rRNA from 1 species